AUUGAACGCUGGCGGCAUGCCUUACACAUGCAAGUCGAACGGUAGAGGGGCAACCCUCGAGAGUGGCGAACGGGUGAGUAAUGCAUCGGAACGUGCCCAGUAGUGGGGGAUAGCCCGACGAAAGCAGGAUUAAUACCGCAUACGACCCACGGGUGAAAGGGGGGGAUCGCAAGACCUCUCGCGAUUCGAGCGGCCGAUGUCAGAUUAGGUAGUUGGUGGGGUAAAAGCCUACCCAGCCGACGAUCUGUAGCUGGUCUGAGAGGACGACCAGCCACACUGGGACUGAGACACGGCCCAGACUCCUACGGGAGGCAGCAGUGGGGAAUUUUGGACAAUGGACGAAAGUCUGAUCCAGCCAUGCCGCGUGCAGGAAGAAGGCCUUCGGGUUGUAAACUGCUUUUGUCAGGGAAGAAAUCCCCUGGGUUAAUACCUCGGGGGGAUGACGGUACCUGAAGAAUAGGCACCGGCUAACUACGUGCCAGCCGCCGCUGUAA
rnacentral:rRNA from 1 species